rnacentral:rRNA from 1 species
AUUGAACGCUGGCGGCAGGCCUAACACAUGCAAGUCGAGCGAGCGGCGGACGGGUGAGUAAUGUCUGGGAAACUGCCUGAGGGAGGGGGAGAAAUCCUGGAAACGGUAGCUAAUACCGCAUACCAUCAGAUGUGCCCAGAUGGGAUUAGCUAGUAGGUGGGGGAAUGGCGCACCUAGGCGACGAUCCCUAGCUGGUCUGAGAGGAGGACCAGCCACACGGGAACUGAGACACGGUCCAGACUCCUACGGGAGGCAGCAGUGGGGAAUAUUGCACAAUGGGCGCAAGCCUGAUGCAGCCAUGCCGCGUGUGUGAAGAAGGCCUUCGGGUUGUAAAGCACUUUCAGCGGGGAGGCGUUACCCGCAGAAGAAGCACCGGCUAACUCCGUGCCAGCAGCCGCGGUAAUAC